rnacentral:rRNA from 1 species
UACGUAGGGUGCAAGCGUUAAUUGGAAUUACUGGGCGUAAAGCGUGCGCAGGCGGUUCCGCAAGUCAGAUGUGAAAUCCCCGGGCUUAACCUGGGAACUGCAUUUGAAACUAUGGAGCUAGAGUGUGUCAGAGGGGGGUAGAAUUCCACGUGUAGCAGUGAAAUGCGUAGAGAUGUGGAGGAAUACCGAUGGCGAAGGCAGCCCCCUGGGAUAACACUGACGCUCAUGCACGAAAGCGUGGGGAGCAAACAGG